GAUGAACGCUGGCGGCGUGCCUAAUACAUGCAAGUCGAGCGGACAGACGAUGCUCUUGCUCCUCUGACGUUAGCGGCGGACGGGUGAGUAACACGUGGAUAAUCUACCUAUCAGUCUGGUAUAACUUCGGGACUCCGGCGCUAAUACCGUAUAAUCUAUUGAACCGUAUUGUUCAAUAGUGAAUGACGGUUUUGCUGUCACUUAUAGAUGGAUCCGCGCCGCAUUAGCUAGUUGGUAAGGUAACGGCUUACCAAGGCAACGAUGCGUAGCCGAAGUGAGAGGGGGAUAGGCCACACGGGAGGGGAAACGCGGACAAGACUACUAAGAGAGGGAGCAGAAGGGAACGGGAGGCAGUAGGCGAAAGCAUGACGAAAUAAGGGGAAGUGAGUGGUGAAGGUGUCGGGAUCGGAAAAAUGGGUUAUUGGGGAAAAACAAAUGUGGAAGGAAAUAUGGAGGGAGUGACGGUAAUGAAUAAAAAAGCAACGGCUAACUACGUG
rnacentral:rRNA from 1 species